GCUGCCAUGGCUCAGUAGGUAGAGCGUCGCCUUGGUAAGGCGGAGGUCGGGGGUUCAAGUCCCCUUGGCAGCU
rnacentral:tRNA from 1 species